rnacentral:rRNA from 1 species
UACGGAGGGGGCGAGCGUUAUUCGGAAUUAUUGGGCGUAAAGGGCGCGUAGGCGGCUGUACAAGUCAAAGGUGAAAUCCCUCGGCUCAACUGAGGAACUGCCUUUGAAACUGUACGCUUGAGGCCGGGAGGGGGUAGCGGAAUUCCCAAUGUAGCGGUGAAAUGCGUAGAUAUUGGGAGGAACACCAGUGGCGAAGGCGCUACCUGGACCGGUUCUGACGCUGAUGCGCGAAAAGCGUGGGUAGCAAACAGG